rnacentral:lncRNA from 1 species
AAAAACUAAAACCAAACCAACACAAUUGUUAUCAUCAUUGUUAUCUAAGAUGCAUGGCUCAUUUCGGCAUGGUUGAAACUGGAAAAUACAUGAGCAAUUAAUGCAAAACCUUCAUAUCUGAAUUUCUGAAAAGAAAACGAUGGCAUGGACAGUGCUGCACCACAAUGAAAUUAUCCAAUGCGCACCAUGCCUCCUCAUGAGCUUCACAUAAAAUACUUCAUAUAUUGGAUUACAACUUCAUCCCUCCCUAUC